rfam:Schistosoma curassoni strain Dakar, Senegal genome assembly, scaffold: SCTD_scaffold0000209
AUCGAGCUGACGAGUCCAAAAUGAGACGAAAUGCUCAUCCUCCAU